AGCCUGAACGCUGGCGGCGUGGCUAAGACAUGCAAGUCGAACGGGGGUAGCAAUACCCCAGUGGCGGACGGGUGAGUAAUGUAUCGCUAACGUGCCCCGGAGCCUGGGAUAGCCUUCCGAAAGGGAGGGUAAUACCAGAUGACAUGACCUGGUUGCAUGACCGGGUCCUCAAAGCAGCAAUGCACUCUGGGGAGCGGGGCAGUACUACGGUAUCAAGUCGUAGUUGGCGGGGUAACGCCCACCAAGGCGACGACGCGAGCCGGACUGAGAGGUUGGCCGGCACAUUGGGACUGAGACACUGCCCAGACUCCUACGGGGGCUGCAGUAACGAUCUCGCAAUGACACGCAAGUGUGACGGAGCGACGCCGCGUAGUGGACGAAGCCCGUUACGGGGUAGUAAACCACUGUCCGAGGGGCAGCCAAGUUCC
rnacentral:rRNA from 1 species